GGCUUCGAAAAUGAUAGAGAAGUGGAUAGUGUAAACAAAUAUGAUUUUGUGAAAAUUUGUUCGACGUUGGAUCGAGUAUUUUUUUUUUGUUCUUUUUUCUAAAAAAUGUUAAUCUUAAUCUUUGAAUUAACAAUCAACUGAUACAAUAAAGUAAUUGAAAGCGGUAAAUUUAUUACAUAUUUUGGGAAUGGGGGUAUAGUUUACUGAAUGGGAAUACGGUAUCAUAAUUAAAUGAUAUAAGUUCUAGAAGACAUUUG
rnacentral:lncRNA from 1 species